rnacentral:lncRNA from 1 species
AUGCUGCCAGCAAAUCUAUUGAUCAUGUCCAUGGCCGUCUUUUUGACAACAGCAGUUUCUACCGCUCCCUUGGAGGGUAAAAAAAGAGAAGCUAUGUUUUAUAUUUUAUCUCAUUUUAUUAUUUCUGUUUGGAAAGAAGACUUUCUGUGUGUCUUCCAGAGAAGGAGCUGGAGGAGGUGGAGGUUGAAGCUACAGAGGAGGGGGAGGUGUCUGAGGAGGAGGAGGGUAGGCCUGUGUGUGUGAGAGAAGCCAGCUUUUAUUGUGAAAAGCAGAUUCGUGUCAAAUUUUUCAUGAAGCAUAAACUCAGAGUUUAUACUGAUGACAAAAUUAAACCAAACUGAGGUCACACGAAUGGAACCUGACCCUCACACCAACCUCAGAGUGAACAACAUCGUAAUCGUCUGUGAUCUUUUAAAACCUGUUUAAACUUAUCAUAAAGACACAAACACGUCACACAUUUCAGUCACAAAGCUUUUUAAAAUAACUCUUGAGGCAAUGAGAUUCUUUCUUUAUUAAUGAAACACUAUGUAACCAUGACAUGAACUUAGGUAAUCAAUGUUUGCCAAAUAUUACCUGGUGUUGGUUCUUGGGGUUUGUUUGGGUGAGUGAAUGUGUGUGAGACAUUCUCAUUGACCUUUGAUCAGAGCGCCCCCCCUCUUUGGGUCCCUGUUCAAAGUACAGUGGGUGUGAGACUGUAGGGCUGACAGUGAAGGUUUGGAGAAGGUGGUGUUUGUUGUUUUUGAGAGAAAAAUGACAAAAUCCAACAGCUUUUUCACAGUACCAAGUCCUCAGAACUAUCUCUCAUUUGUGUACUAAAAUGUUUUUACUGACACAAACCACUACAUCUGGGUCAAGAUAAUAUGGGUUUUCUUUGUUUAUUGUUAAUUUGUUUGUAUUUGACUGAAUUUAUUUCAGUGUAACACCUGUAGGAUGCGUGGCCUCUGUCCAGUAAAUGAAAUAUUAGAAAUCAUAAAUCUCAGUGAAGCAGUGAGAGCAGCACAUGUGUUAAUGCUAAGCUAGGUGACAUACGUGCAUAUAGGAAAGUUCAGGAAGCCAGAGGGAAAGGUAGGAGGAGUCAGAGGUCAAAGGUCAGAGCAGAAAUAAAAAGACACUAAAACAGAGAAGUGUGACAUUUGUUUAAAACUUCUAAUUAGACAUAAAUGUUGGAUGUCUUCUCUUUCCAGAUGAUGAUGACUCCAAGAGUCAAGAUAAGAUUGAGGGUGAGAGGCAAAACACACUGUGACCUUUGCCCUGUAGCUUUAUCUUAUAAACCUGCAUAAACACAAAGAAAUGAAAAGUUCAAACAUCAGACUGUUGUUUAGAUGAACGUGACGUGAUA